CAGAAAAAAGUGGUUGACUCCUUCGGAAAGUUCAGACUGAGUUCAUUGUAGACAGUGAGGAGUGUGCACGGGGCCAGAGACACGGGAGCAAGCCUGGCAUCUCUCUCCAGUUUGAUGGCCACUGGGACCCAUCGCCAGCAUCAGCUCUUACCGGACAGCUGGGCAAACGUACGUGCUUUAUUUUAAAAGAAUGCCAGCCUGUUUUGAAUACAUUUUGUUAUGGGCAGUCGAAGAUAGUUGCAAAUGCCUCUGUAACAUUAUUCUAUGUACAUCUAGCCCGUCAAUUGGACACCAUUGGGUACGUACAUGUAUCCACUUUUUCAGUGGUGCUCCCUUUCUUGCACUGGGCGUAAGCACACAAACAGCUUAUACACUACACUUAUACAAGUAUGUAUUUCCUACUAAGUCAGUAGAGCUACUUUUUAGCUUAUUCUGUCUGAUCAUGUGUAUCAUUAUUAUUGUGGGGGGGGGGUAUUAUUGCGUAUUAUUGCGUAUCAUGUGCGUUUUCUUAAACUUUGACCUCGACUGCCAAGUACGAGUACGAGUGGAAACCCAGAGUAAGGAAGUUACAAAUCUGCAUUAUACCCUACAUGCACCUACAAGACAUGAGUCAAAUACGUACAUGUAUGUAUAGCAUCAUACCAAUCGGCCUGAUACAAAAGAAAAAGCAUGUACCAUCAUGACCGUCGGUUCUUGCACGUCCCUCCAAAUAAGCUGAAAGUAAACUCGAAGCAGCCACCCUCCCAACCAGCUCAACAGGUAGAGUUGAUUGGGAGCAGUGAUAUGAGAAUGAAGCAGCUAAGGAUGAUAUCAAAGAACAGGAACAGAAAGCGAAUGACCUCGUGGUAGGUAAGUGUUUCAGAUUUCCUCUAACAGCUAGUGUACAAGUUCCGUGUGUAUUUAACCUACCACCUAUUAUCCAGGCUAUAAUUAUACGUACUUUAGUUACCUAAUUAGGUAGGGUCUUUAGGAGGAAAUUCCCUUACAUAUAUCCCCCACUAUAGCAACCUGAAUUGUAGCAAUAAAUUGUUGAGAGGAUAAGUAGUACACCACAUCUUUGCAAAUGCUGCCACGCCCUUUCUCGAGAGGCACCCAAAAACAAUAUAUACACACGAACUACGGAUGCUUUCCCAA